GGUGGAUGUUUGAAACCAAUGUGUGUCUUCAUUAAAAAAAAGUAUUUCAUAGAAGAUUUCAUAAAUACAUAGAAGAUAUUUUGUACUGGUUCCCCCCCCUUUUUUUUCUUUUUUCCCCUCCUUGUUGCCUAGUUACGUCUCUCGGGGAGCUAACUUGGUUAGCUAGGCUAGCGCUAACUUUUAUGGCCUCAGGUUUGAUAACACGGUGUUUGUUCGCGAGACACACUAAAUAGUUUACUGGAGAAAAGAUAAACAAACGAGUGACUGACUUAUUAUUUUUUUUCCUGUACAUACUAUUUUGUAGUACAUAAAUGGGCGGUUUUAACUUUAGUGGCUUUGCUAACGACGCACCGAUGGUCGGUUAUUCACAGAGAGUCGCGUCGUGGCUCGCGACUCUCUUAUUCAGCAAGAGUUUGAAGACCGGAUAAACACUCGAGGUUACUGACUCCAUAAUGGCGUUAAUAACACAGCUAGUGCAACUUGUCCAUCGUGUUGGCUUAGCUGGGCCAUUCCAUACCCCGUUUAAACGCUGUAGGUGUAGUCGGUGGUGUUUUCUUUUCUCUCUCUCUCUCUCCCCCUUGGCAUUAAUCGUGUAUCAUCGAUAUGUUGUGAUCGGUGUAAAAGUGACAGGUGAAUGACUCCGAGUUCAGUAGAGACUCGCGUUAAAAGUUAGCAAAGCUAGCUAAACCAUAUCGCUCAACGAAACUUGUAUAACGUGCAUUUCGCAACUAUACUUUCUACCCAGGAACAAUAAAUCGGCAGUAAAGAUGGUUAAGAUCUUUGUUGGCAACCUUUCCUCGAGUGCGACCAAAGAAGACCUGCGCAGUCUUUUCUCACAAUAUGGCAAAGUUGCGGAGUGCGACGUGCUGAGAAACUUUGGCUUUGUGCACAUGGAUUCCCAAAAGGAGGCCGAGGAGGCAGUCCGCAAACUCCACCACCACGAACUGAACGGGCAGGCCAUUAAUGUGGAGAUGAGUCGAGGGAAGCCCAAAGGAACCACCAAACUGCAUGUAGGCAACAUAAGCAGUACCUGCACUAAUCAGGAGCUGCGCGCCAAGUUUGAGGAGUUUGGCCCUGUGGUUGAGUGCGAUAUUGUGAAGGACUAUGCCUUCGUACACAUGGAGCAAAGGGAAGAUGCCAUGGAGGCCAUCAAUAUGCUGAACAACGCGACCUUUCAAGGCGCUUUGAAACAGCAGGACUUUCUUUUAGCGAUCAUUCCUUCCACCUUCCUCUGGUCAAUAGAAAUAUUUCUGGAGGCACAAUUGGAUUGGAUUUGAUGGAAGCGGGACUGAGAAGACAUGCACCCCAUUAUCAUUUAGAGUUGCUUUCAGCUUCUGAAUGUUUAACUUCAUCAGACAUAUUAGAGCUGUAAAGAUGGUCUUUUCUGCAUUGCCCAAUUUCCUCUACACUAUUUUGAAGUUUUCAACACAUACUGAGAAACAUAGCUGCUUGCUUCUGACCUGAUGUGAUCUACCAUUUAGUUACUUUUAGUGCGUGCUUUGUUUUUGGGGGGUCCGAAUUCACUCAUUUUCAAUAUUUACUUUAUUAGUUUCAGUUAGCAAGCCUUACAUGUCGUGUGAUGACAAUCUGUUUCAGUUCUUGAUGUCACUAUGUUUAGGCAUUUUUUUCUUUUUCUUUUUCAAGCAUUAUUGAGAAAAUGAAACCCAAGACGAACAUUCCUGUUCUUUGCUUGUUCAUCUCUCACAAUGUACACCUAAACAGAUAGGGAGCUUGAAACUUUGGUUGCAAAUCAAGUGAGAUGAUUAAAUAACUGCAAGAUUCUGGACUUUUUUUUUUUUUUUCCUGGAUUUUUUGGGAUUUAUAGUGAGUUCCAAAAUAGGGUACAUCAGUCAUGAAUUGGAAAAAGUAAAGAGAGGAUUAUCUUAUCUCUUUGCACACUUGUUUUGAAGACAUCCUGUUCCGUACAGACUAUUGACAAAAGGAUAUUUUGUAAUAGAACGCAGCGUUGCAGUUCAAUGCUGGUUUAUUCAGCAAACUGGUACUUGUGCAGAGUUUGCCAUGUGGCAGUGUGUGUGCUGAUCAAGGACUGUACAUAAGAGUAAAGUAAGAUUGAGUAAAUAUAGAGAUGUGAUGACCAGCUGUCACUCAGGGCUCAGUUCACCUUGGAGACCGCUGGUGUGCAUAAUUUCUGUAUGGGCGCCUUGGUAAGAUCUGUGAUGUUUAUAAAAUUUGAUUUCCCUCAAGAAGUCAAGUGUGUUUUUAUAUAUAUUUUUUUCUUUUUUUAAAUAAACCAAGAUGUUAUGGUGAAAAACAUGCUGUGGAUUGUUUUAUGGUUAAAAACAAAAACACACCAGCCCUACUUCCUAACUGAUAUCUUAUUAUAUCCAGUUC